rnacentral:lncRNA from 1 species
UAAGUAGUGUGAUGCAUCGCAGCAGUAGUUGCUUCCAUUUCCAGCCAAGCUGUGACAAACCAUCCAGGAGAUCAUGAUGAAUCACCCCGAGAUGGUCACAGCAGACAAGCAGGACUGUUUCAGGAGGAAUUCUGGAGGUCAGCAUCACCACCGACGUCUGAAAUAGGUGUAAAUGGCACUUGAAGAUACAAGGUGGCUGGCUUUCACGGACCAAGCUACUGCAGAUCAACCAUCAGUGUCUGUCAUUUUCCUGGAAAAUGUCUCAGCUACCAGGCCCUGAAGGAAAUGUUUACAUUGCAAAACUGACCAACCAUCAGACCCACCAGAAAUCACUUCUCCAAGGAAACAAUGCAAAAUGCCCAGGAAGAGUUACUUAUAUUUUCUGGAGUAAGGAAGAAUAAAGAUAUCAAACAGCAAGAUGACUUUGGUGGCAUCCUUGCCUUUGCUUCACAAGACUCCUCACUCUCCAACUAUAGUUUCCACUUCUACGACUCCUGAAAUCUUUCAGCCCCAGGAUAGAUUGCAUGUGUUUACAUGUUCAUGGGAAUACUUGGGUGCAUGUGUCUGAUGAGAUUGUUCAUGUGUGUGCACACACAUAUGGAGGCCAGAGGACUUGUGAUUCAGGUGACAGCCACCUCAUUUUGAAAUGGUGUCUCUCACUGAUCAUAGUGUCUCGUUGGCCUGGACCUUACAAGUAAGGAAGAUGGCUGCCCAUUGACUCCCAGGGAUCCAUUUGUCUCAGCAAUGGAAUUGCUGGAAUUAGGGAGGCAAACCACCAUCCCGGGCUUUUUUUUUUUUUAAAUCUGGUGAUCAGAACAUCUCCACAUCAUCCCAGGAUAGUGAAUUUUCACAAUUUUCACAAUUUUCACAAUUUUCACAAUUUUCACAGGAUAGUGAAUUUUCACAUACAAUUAUCAGGGUAGCAACUGAGCAUCUGGCAAAAUGUGUUGUAUUUUUAAGUGACUGGCCUGUAAUACCAAUAUAUCUAUUGAUAUAAUGAUGACAUAAGUAGUUACAUACCAAUAUAGGUCAUGAUGUGAUAUAUAUUUUAUGCAUUGGUAUAUAAUGGGAAUAUACAUUAUGUGCUAAUGUAGAUAUUUGUUAAAUGGGUGAAAAGCUGAGUUGAUGAUCAAAGACUUUAAGGUUAAACCUGAAUGACUUAAGUGUUCAGAAUUUGGAAAUGGCACCAUAUAUGGAAAGUUUCCAUGACUGUUUUACAACUCCACUCUUCUUGAAUAGUCCAGAAAGAGAAAGAAAGAGAUGGGGCAUUGCUAAAAUGGGGUAUUGCUGCAAUCCUAGAUCAGCCUUGCUAUCAGUGUCACUGUUACAGGGAUGCUGCUAUUCAGCAAUGAAUGGAAAGUGUCCGCCCUGGAGCCAGCUUAUGGGGCCUCAGAAGCUGCAUUUGACCAAGAUAAGAAUUUUACUUAUAUUUAAUCUGUGACAUUGUAUUCUCCCUAAGGUAUAAUUCUCUACCUAAUGGAAAAGAAAGAGAGAGAGAGAGAGAGACAGAGAGAGAGAGAGAGAGAGAGAGAGAGAGAGAGAGACAGAGAGAGACAGAGAGAGAGACAGAGGCAGAGACAGAGACAGAGACAGAGACAGAGACAGAAAGACCUUGAGGUGACUGCUGUCUGCUCAUUGCUCAGCCCCAGGUCAUUUUCUUCUGUCAUGUACCUUCCUGUUGACAUACAGUGACUCAUAGCCUCUAGCAAAGUUGACAGAACUGAAUGAACCCAUCCAAGUUAGGUCAGUCAGCGAUUUCAUAUCAAUCUGUAAUUGGAAUUAAGGGACUCUGGUAAGUCUUCAUCUAAGAAGUAGUUGAGACCAUGCAUAAGUACACUUGGCUACUUACUACCACUUUCUGGGGACUGAUACGGGUCUCUCCUUUCCUUGCCUCACUUCCAAACUAGCAAAGGGAUGGAAAUCAUUAGCAGAACAGAAACACAUCAGCCUUUUCUGCUUAAACACGACUAGUUUGGCAAUGUAGAACUCUUGAUGAGACAGGUUUGUUGGUGACCCUAAUGGAGGGAGGGAGAGUGUGGCCUUUUGGAGGUCUCUCCAGGGAGAAAGAAAGUAGAGAUGUCUUAAUUAUGAAGGUCUUAUCCUUUUCUCAAGUCAUCAACAAAAAUCCAAAAGUAUAACCCUAACUGAAGUUUUUGUCUUUGGGAAAUAAGAGGCUUUGCCUCUUGUGGAGAUGCAGAGAAAGCCAGGCUCAAGAGACAGUGGGUGCCAGGAAGCUGCUCUUCUCACCUGUGUCCUGAUUUCCCAGCUUUGAUUUCUCAACCUUCUUAGGAAGCGCAGCCACACUUCUUAUCCCUGAGUUCCCUCGAGCAAACUUCCCCUCUAUGUAAGGCUUGUGUCUUGGUGAGGUUUGAAAAUAAACUGGUUGUAGACAAUGCAGUGUAAUGGACUCAACGUUGGCUUCAUUUUAGUCUUCCUCUUUUGAUGGGAGAGAGGAUGGGAUGAAUCGUCAAGCUUCCGUCAUUCCAAUAAAAAGCAAGGAGCCAGCAUCUUAUUCGUGCAAAGCCAAAGCAAACGGCCAAGAAAUAAUAGAGUGAAGAAAGAUUCUUUAACUGAAGCAGAUAGGGGGCUGUGGUAACUAUUUCCAAAGCAACUCCCUCUAUGAAGAAAAGAAGAAUGGGGUUUUCUUGGGCGGGGCAGGGGCGGGGCAGGGGAGCCUAAACAUUCAUCUGAGAAAGCCUUUGGAAGGCAGCCUCAUGUUUAAGAUGUUCACCAAAGAGCAUGUUCAGCAUAAGGUUAUAGUUCAAGAAAACAAAAAAGAUGGCAGACGAAAUUACUUUGGACAUGUUUAGCUUGUACCCUAAAGAUAGUAACAGGAAUGCUUUCAUGCAACGUAGCAUCUUUUUCAUAAAAGAUUUUAGCUGCUGCUACAGGGGGGAAAAUGCCUUGAAGGUAGACUAAAAGAGGAGUUUUUAGGGGUGCCUGCCUUGUUUACCUGUUUACUUCUCAGUUCAACUGAUUUCCACACUGCCACCAACUGAACCCCAAAGUUUAAAUAAACACUUCUCCUUGGAAGUUGAACAGCUAUGAAGAGUGGUUGUAUUUGUUAUCAAAACACUGCAUGGACGUACAUCUCCCCCAGGCCGAGGCUAUAGAGUAAUCGCUGGAGACAGACAUACUUAGGUGGUAAUUCAGAUCUAGCUCCUGCUAGUUGGAGAGUGUCUUACAGGACUCUUCACCUUUGAGUCCACUUUUCCCAUCUAAAAGAAUUAAAAACAUAGUUUGGGUAGUUGUAAGCAUU